UACAGAGGGGGCAAGCGUUGUUCGGAAUUACUGGGCGUAAAGGGCGCGUAGGCGGCCUGUUAAGUCGAACGUGAAAUCCCCGGGCUCAACCCGGGAACUGCGUCCGAUACUGGCAGGCUUGAAUCCGGGAGAGGGAUGCGGAAUUCCAGGUGUAGCGGUGAAAUGCGUAGAUAUCUGGAGGAACACCGGUGGCGAAGGCGGCUUACUGGUCCGGUUCUGACGCUGAGGCGCGAAAGCGUGGGGAGCAGACAGG
rnacentral:rRNA from 1 species